AAAAUCCCCAACUCCUUCCAAAUUGGUUCCGCAGCCCCCAAAUCCCUUAAACCCAAAUCACUCUAAAAAGACUCUCCUCAGCCAAAAAGAAAAAGGUCACCUCACCUCUCCUCUUCUUCUUCCAUGGCGAUCAACGGCGGCACAAGCACGGGCUGAUCUCCUUCGUCGGUAACGAUCAACGGCGGUACAAGCAUGGGCAGAUCUUUUUUUGGCAAUGAUCAACAGCGGCACAAGCACAGUCGUCCUCAGGUACGGAUUUGAUGUUGGUUGUGUUGUCAAGUAGCGAUUCAUGUUUGGAAGAGAAUCCGCUCGCAAGGACCUGGAGCACUUAAUCGAAGAUCUUAAGCGAGGAAUUCGCUUCCUCCUCAUUCCUAAUCGGUGCCUGGUUCAUCAGUAUGAUUAAGGAUGAAAAUUGAGAAAGAAGGACGCAUUAGGUUUGAGACAUUGGUUGAAAAGCGCUACCCCGGUGGCCACGCUGGAAACAUAUGUUCCGUGGCUUCUUGCGUUGUCUGUGAGGAAUAUGUACUGCUGUAGAAGAUAAUUAUGAAUCAAUGGUAAUUGGCGUGUUGGUUUUGGUGCCGAUUUCCUCUUAUUUUCCAGAAAAGGCUUGUAAUUUGUUCACCUCAAGAUUCAAUUUGUUAUUGAAAAUGGAUGGCUGUAAAGACCUACUGGCCUUUCAUUAUAUUAAUGUUUUUGACAGUAAGUUUGUAAUAGUUAGUGCAGGGAACUUAUUGAUUCUUGAUUAUAUAUAACGGUGGCCCUUAUUACUUUAAAAAAAAAAAAAAAAUUGAUGAUGGGUUUCGUUUUGUAUAAGUGUUUGGAGUGUUGGAAAAUGAACAUUGUAUAUUUUAGAUAGUUGAGUUCCAUAGUAGUGAAAAGCUACGGAUUUGUUUUCUUUGUAUUGAAAUGUGUUUUGACCAUUAUAUGUUGUUUGAUUGGUGAUAGUUUUAUGUUUGUCAGUUCCAGUAGUCUCUUAAUCGCCAUCUGGCAUGGAAACUCACUGUGAAUAUGUGAAGAAUGCAGUGAUCAUAAGGAGUAAAUGAACGAUCAAACAUGCUAAAAUUAAAUACCAAAAAAUAAAAUAAAAUAAAAUAAAAUUGGAACUGGAAGAGUAAAUAGCAAAAGAUUGGGCGAAAAUUGAAUACCAUAACAAAAAAAAAAUUAAAAUAAAUUCAAACGACAAGAGCUAAUUAAGAGCAAAAAGAUGCUUGACUUACCAAGAGCAAGGACCAAGCAAAUGGUUUUACAUUCGGGCUUGAUGGUGAACUGGUUGGAGAUGGGUACGAAUGUGAUCUCGUUGAGAUUUGGAGAAGAGAAC
rnacentral:lncRNA from 1 species